rnacentral:rRNA from 1 species
UUUGAAAUCUGGCUUCGGCCCGAGUUGUAAUUUGCAGAGGAUGUUUCUGGCGCGGUGCCUUCCGAGUUCUCUGGAACGGGACGCCACAGAGGGUGAGAGCCCCGUAUGGUUGGACACCAAGCCUGUGUGAAACUCCUUCGACGAGUCGAGUAGUUUGGGAAUGCUGCUCAAAAUGGGAGGUAAAUCUCUUCUAAAGCUAAAUACCGGCCAGAGACCGAUAGCGCACAAGUAGAGUGAUCGAAAGAUGAAAAGCACCUUGAAAAGGGGGUUAAACAGUACGUGAAAUUGUUGAAAGGGAAGCGCUUGUGACCAGACUUGCGCCGGGCGGCUCAUCCGGGGUUCUCCCCGGUGCACUCCGCCCGGCUCAGGCCAGCAUCGGUUUUCGUUGGGGGAUAAGAACGGCAGGAACGUGGCCCUCCUUCGGGUGGGUGUUAUAGCCUGCCGUACGAUACCCUGACGGGGACCGAGGUUCGCGCUCCGCAAGGAUGCUGGCGUAAUGGUCAUCAGCGACCCGUCUUGAAACACGGACCAAGGAGUCGUCCAUUAGAGCGAGCGUUUGGGUGUCAAACCCGCACGCGUAA